UACGUAGGGGGCAAGCGUUGUCCGGAAUCAUUGGGCGUAAAGCGCGUGUAGGCGGCCACGUUAGUCCGUUCUGAAAGCCCGGGGCUCAACCCCGGGAGGCGGAUGGAUACUGCGUGGCUCGAGUCCGGAAGAGGCGAGUGGAAUUCCUGGUGUAGCGGUGAAAUGCGCAGAUAUCAGGAGGAACGCCAAUGGCGAAGGCAGCUCGCUGGGACGUGACUGACGCUGAGACGCGAAAGCGUGGGGAGCAAACAGG
rnacentral:rRNA from 1 species